GACGAACGCUGGCGGCGUGCUUAACACAUGCAAGUCGAACGGAAAGGCCCUGCUUGCAGGGUACUCGAGUGGCGAACGGGUGAGUAACACGUGGGUGAUCUGCCCUGCACUUCGGGAUAAGCCUGGGAAACUGGGUCUAAUACCGGAUAGGAGCCAUUUUUAGUGUGAUGGUUGGAAAGUUUUUUCGGUGUAGGAUGAGCUCGCGGCCUAUCAGCUUGUUGGUGGGGUAAUGGCCUACCAAGGCGGCGACGGGUAGCCGGCCUGAGAGGGUGGACGGCCACAUUGGGACUGAGAGACGGCCCAGACUCCUACGGGAGGCAGCAGUGGGGAAUAUUGCACAAUGGGCGCAAGCCGGAUGCAGCGACGCCGCGUGGGGGAUGACGGCCUUCGGGUUGUAAACGCCUUUCGCUAGGGACGAAGCUUUUUGUGACGGUACCUAGAGAAGAAGCACCGGCUAACUACGUG
rnacentral:rRNA from 1 species